rnacentral:lncRNA from 1 species
GUUGCUCUAGGCUACAACCCAGAGGAGUAAGCAUUCUACAGUGAGGACCUUAUAUAUGGUCCUUAGGUGAGGCCAUAUCUCUUAACCAUUGGAUCAAAUUGGUUACGUUAAGCAAUAGGACCUUACCUAAAGCCCAUAUAUAAGGCCAUCACUACAGCAUGACUCUGCAUGCAUGCAUCUAAAUUCAGUCAGCAUAUAAAAAUGAUGUGGAAC